UACGUAGGGUGCGAGCGUUGUCCGGAAUUAUUGGGCGUAAAGAGCUUGUAGGCGGUCUGUCGCGUCUGCUGUGAAAAUCCGGGGCUCAACCCCGGACUUGCAGUGGGUACGGGCAGACUAGAGUGUGGUAGGGGAGACUGGAAUUCCUGGUGUAGCGGUGAAAUGCGCAGAUAUCGGGAAGAACACCUAUGGCGAAGGCAGCUCUCUGGGACGGUACUGACGCUGAGACGCGAAAGCGUGGGGAGCGAACAGG
rnacentral:rRNA from 1 species